UACGAAGGGGGCUAGCGUUGUUCGGAUUUACUGGGCGUAAAGCGCACGUAGGCGGAUAUUUAAGUCAGGGGUGAAAUCCCGGGGCUCAACCCCGGAACUGCCUUUGAUACUGGGUAUCUUUGAGUCCGGAAGAGGUGAGUGGAAUUCCGAGUGUAGAGGUGAAAUUCGUAGAUAUUCGGAGGAACACCAAUGGCGAAGGCAGCUCGCUGGGACGGUACUGACGCUGAGACGCGAAAGCGUGGGGAGCAAACAGG
rnacentral:rRNA from 1 species